AUUUCGGUGGUUCAGUGGUAGAAUGCUCGUCUGCCACACGGGCGACCGGGGUUCGAUUCCCGGCCAAUGCA
rfam:Angiostrongylus cantonensis strain Taiwan genome assembly, scaffold: ACAC_scaffold0000177